rnacentral:rRNA from 1 species
UUAAGCGACUAAGCGUACACGGUGGAUGCCCUGGCAGUCAGAGGCGAUGAAGGACGUGCUAAUCUGCGAUAAGCGUCGGUAAGGUGAUAUGAACCGUUAUAACCGGCGAUUUCCGAAUGGGGAAACCCAGUGUGAUUCGUCACACUAUCAUUAACUGAAUCCAUAGGUUAAUGAGGCGAACCGGGGGAACUGAAACAUCUAAGUACCCCGAGGAAAGAAAUCAACCGAGAUUCCCCCAGUAGCGGCGAGCGAACGGGGAGGAGCCCAGAGCCUGAAUCAGUGUGUGUGUUAGUGGAAGCGUCUGGAAAGGCGCGCGAUACAGGGUGACAGCCCCGUACACAAAAAUGCACAUGCUGUGAGCUCGAUGAGUAGGGCGGGACACGUGGUAUCCUGUCUGAAUAUGGGGGACCAUCCUCCAAGGCUAAAUACUCCUGACUGACCGAUAGUGAACCAGUACCGUGAGGGAAAGGCGAAAAGAACCCCGGCGAGGGGAGUGAAAAAGAACCUGAAACCGUGUACGUACAAGCAGUGGGAGCACAGAGCAAUCUGUGUGACUGCGUACCUUUUGUAUAAUGGGUCAGCGACUUAUAUUCUGUAGCAAGGUUAACCGAAUAGGGGAGCCGAAGGGAAACCGAGUCUUAACUGGGCGUUAAGUUGCAGGGUAUAGACCCGAAACCCGGUGAUCUAGCCAUGGGCAGGUUGAAGGUUGGGUAACACUAACUGGAGGACCGAACCGACUAAUGUUGAAAAAUUAGCGGAUGACUUGUGGCUGGGGGUGAAAGGCCAAUCAAACCGGGAGAUAGCUGGUUCUCCCCGAAAGCUAUUUAGGUAGCGCCUCGUGAAUUCAUCUCCGGGGGUAGAGCACUGUUUCGGCAAGGGGGUCAUCCCGACUUACCAACCCGAUGCAAACUGCGAAUACCGGAGAAUGUUAUCACGGGAGACACACGGCGGGUGCUAACGUCCGUCGUGAAGAGGGAAACAACCCAGACCGCCAGCUAAGGUCCCAAAGUCAUGGUUAAGUGGGAAACGAUGUGGGAAGGCCCAGACAGCCAGGAUGUUGGCUUAGAAGCAGCCAUCAUUUAAAGAAAGCGUAAUAGCUCACUGGUCGAGUCGGCCUGCGCGGAAGAUGUAACGGGGCUAAACCAUGCACCGAAGCUGCGGCAGCGACACUGUGUGUUGUUGGGUAGGGGAGCGUUCUGUAAGCCUGUGAAGGUGUGCUGUGAGGCAUGCUGGAGGUAUCAGAAGUGCGAAUGCUGACAUAAGUAACGAUAAAGCGGGUGAAAAGCCCGCUCGCCGGAAGACCAAGGGUUCCUGUCCAACGUUAAUCGGGGCAGGGUGAGUCGACCCCUAAGGCGAGGCCGAAAGGCGUAGUCGAUGGGAAACAGGUUAAUAUUCCUGUACUUGGUGUUACUGCGAAGGGGGGACGGAGAAGGCUAUGUUGGCCGGGCGACGGUUGUCCCGGUUUAAGCGUGUAGGCUGGUUUUCCAGGCAAAUCCGGAAAAUCAAGGCUGAGGCGUGAUGACGAGGCACUACGGUGCUGAAGCAACAAAUGCCCUGCUUCCAGGAAAAGCCUCUAAGCAUCAGGUAACAUCAAAUCGUACCCCAAACCGACACAGGUGGUCAGGUAGAGAAUACCAAGGCGCUUGAGAGAACUCGGGUGAAGGAACUAGGCAAAAUGGUGCCGUAACUUCGGGAGAAGGCACGCUGAUAUGUAGGUGAAGUCCCUCGCGGAUGGAGCUGAAAUCAGUCGAAGAUACCAGCUGGCUGCAACUGUUUAUUAAAAACACAGCACUGUGCAAACACGAAAGUGGACGUAUACGGUGUGACGCCUGCCCGGUGCCGGAAGGUUAAUUGAUGGGGUCAGCGCAAGCGAAGCUCUUGAUCGAAGCCCCGGUAAACGGCGGCCGUAACUAUAACGGUCCUAAGGUAGCGAAAUUCCUUGUCGGGUAAGUUCCGACCUGCACGAAUGGCGUAAUGAUGGCCAGGCUGUGUCCACCCGAGACUCAGUGAAAUUGAACUCGCUGUGAAGAUGCAGUGUACCCGCGGCAAGACGGAAAGACCCCGUGAACCUUUACUAUAGCUUGACACUGAACAUUGAGCCUUGAUGUGUAGGAUAGGUGGGAGGCUUUGAAGUGUGGACGCCAGUCUGCAUGGAGCCGACCUUGAAAUACCACCCUUUAAUGUUUGAUGUUCUAACGUGGACCCGUGAUCCGGGUUGCGGACAGUGUCUGGUGGGUAGUUUGACUGGGGCGGUCUCCUCCUAAAGAGUAACGGAGGAGCACGAAGGUUGGCUAAUCCUGGUCGGACAUCAGGAGGUUAGUGCAAUGGCAUAAGCCAGCUUGACUGCGAGCGUGACGGCGCGAGCAGGUGCGAAAGCAGGUCAUAGUGAUCCGGUGGUUCUGAAUGGAAGGGCCAUCGCUCAACGGAUAAAAGGUACUCCGGGGAUAACAGGCUGAUACCGCCCAAGAGUUCAUAUCGACGGCGGUGUUUGGCACCUCGAUGUCGGCUCAUCACAUCCUGGGGCUGAAGUAGGUCCCAAGGGUAUGGCUGUUCGCCAUUUAAAGUGGUACGCGAGCUGGGUUUAGAACGUCGUGAGACAGUUCGGUCCCUAUCUGCCGUGGGCGCUGGAGAACUGAGGGGGGCUGCUCCUAGUACGAGAGGACCGGAGUGGACGCAUCACUGGUGUUCGGGUUGUCAUGCCAAUGGCACUGCCCGGUAGCUAAAUGCGGAAGAGAUAAGUGCUGAAAGCAUCUAAGCACGAAACUUGCCCCGAGAUGAGUUCUCCCUGACCCUUUAAGGGUCCUGAAGGAACGUUGAAGACGACGACGUUGAUAGGCCGGGUGUGUAAGCGCAGCGAUGCGUUGAGCUAACCGGUACUAAUGAACCGUGAGGCUUAACCUU